UACAGAGGUCUCAAGCGUUGUUCGGAUUCAUUGGGCGUAAAGGGUGUGUAGGUGGCGCGCUAAGUCGGGUGUGAAAUUUCGGAGCUUAACUCCGAAACUGCAUUCGAUACUGGCGUGCUUGAGGACUGGAGAGGAGACUGGAAUUCAUGGUGUAGCAGUGAAAUGCGUAGAGAUCAUGAGGAAGACCAGUGGCGAAGGCGGGUCUCUGGACAGUUCCUGACACUGGGGCACGAAGGCCAGGGGAGCAAACGGG
rnacentral:rRNA from 1 species